GUAGGCAUAGUUUAAAUAAAACAUUAGAUUGUGAUUCUAAAAACAGAGGUUGAAGCCCUCUUGCCCACC